GCAGCUUCGUAAAGCCUUAGGCCUAAAUCGUCGCUACUCUGACAACAACCGGCAUCCAAAAACAACACCCAAAAUGGGCGCAAAACAGGCCGCCGCGAGGAGACGUUAGCUCUGUGAGGUGGUCCUACUCCGCUCGGUGCACACAGCAUCCGAGUUGACGGCGCCCACCGUCCCAGACGGUGUCGGAGCGCCCGGUGCCAGGCCGCAAUACCAGUCAGCCCGUCGUGGCACCCGUGGCCCGCGGCCACCCGGCUCCCAGAGCCGCGACUUCAUCCGAGUCAAAGAGAUAGAAGAAGCUAUUUACAUAAGAAAUUCGGACCACCCACGAGGCUUCCGUACUCACUCGCUUCAGGCUUGCCACUGCUCCGCGGGCGCUCAGCCUCGCUCUCCCAGGAUGCAGACCACGUGGCUCUCGUACCAACGAAUGCCAUUAAAAAAAACACUUGCGAAAAGGCUUAGCAUGUUGGCAUGUUCAAACACACUACAGCCACCGUCGCCUCGCUCAAGAAAGCACGCCGCCGACGCUAGCGAUCAAAAUCCACGCUAGGCCUACGCUUCGGUUCAAACAAAGGUCUUGAACGAAGCAACACUUAAAAUUAUCGUCCGAUGCCCCAAGAGGUCCACGUUGGGCAGCCAGAUGUGGGAGAUACGAGGUUCUCCUCCGUACUCUUGGGACAAAGGAACGACAACACAGUAGUGCAAACAGUCACAAGGGCAUUUAUUGCACCUUUCAUGGAUCAAUGCCUGCUAGCCGAGUUCAUAUCCCCAAAACAUGCCGAUAGGCGCGCGACAAAUCUAGAAGUCCGACUCACCGCGUCCUCGCGAGCGAAUAUGUUCGCUCCAUGCUGGAUCCCAACGCCUGGUCGUUCGCGUGUAUAGUCACGCGAAUCGUGGCGCGUUCCAAGGCGGCCACGCGAGGCGGUCUCGCAGAUGCAUCGGUCGCCGCGCGCUCGCGGGAGACGUCCUCCGCCGCGCGCCGACCCCCCGGGAAAGAGCCAGCCCCUUGUCCCUCGGCGCCCGAGUAACCCCCGCCGCGGUGCGACGGUCGCGCCAUCUCUCGCACCGCGCUUGUACCACGCCGCGGGCGCCAGGCCACGCGAGCCGUGCGGGAGAACAGCAUAUCAGGGGAUGCGCUAUGCGGGAAAACAUCAGGGGACGCGCGAGAGUCGCGCAUCCCCACACUGGAAAAGAAAACGGUGGCUCGCGAAUAAGGGCAACAAGCAAUUAUUGUAGAAAUCAGUUGGAUGCAUGACGUUAGCGAAAAAAAAGUGCAGCAAAAAUAUUCUGCAACCUUGUAAGAACACUUGGAGCUACAAUUGAAAAUUCGCAAACGGAUAUUAGGGACGAAGAGUGUAACGUCUUCGACGGAGAUGGCGCGCUGCGGUAAAUCAGAGAUGUUAUUAGGAAUAACCUCGACAAGAAAGAGAGUUGUCCAGACUGAAGCAGAUCCAGCCACAGAGAAGACUGAGAGACCAAAAUUUAGACUAGAAAGCUUCUACUAAAAAAAAAAAACACACACACACACACACAAGAAAAUGUCCCUAAUAAUACGACCACACGACCCGAUGAAAUCUCAAUACAAACGGCCGGGUCUACUGGAAAAGGCACAGCUGACUAGUGCCAUAGAGCAAGCGACUAUAGCGAAGUGAAUUCCGCUUGGGUGACGUGAAAGCAAGCCGAAGCCUCCUUAUCAAUAAGAGCAAAGGGGUAAAACGAGCUCGUAUAGGCCAGGUAAAGUAACAUCGGUGAUGUAUAGAAUGGCAAUGCAAGCCCUAAUAUUACAGCUGUCAAAGUGGGUGGAGAAAGAAAUUCACAGACGAUUACGAUACUGCCUAAUGCGACAUUUGAGCGCAGCUCUCUACGUGUUUUCGUUACGCGUGUCAAUAUUUUCUAUUAGGAUUAUAUAGGUACACAGCUUAUAUCAGGAAGUGAGUAGCGCGCUUCUUUCCAUACAGAUGACGCGUGCUAUACUCUGGCGCCAUAUCGUAGCCAUCGUCGCCGCUCAGCCCGUCUUGCACGGCGCUACCCUUUUCUUCUCACGCUUUCGCUCCACCAACGACGAGAGCGGCCCUUCGUUGCGGGUAAAUCGUGCAACCAGCGACAGCGGCGACAACACCCAAGGGAGCGCUACAUGCAGCCUAACUCGUAGCCGCUCGCCAUCGUCCCUUGCAGUAGGAGUGAUCGCCGUCACACGCGCUGGUACCGCGGACUGACCUCAGCAGCAGACGGCGCCGACGAGCGUAGCCCUCCCCACGCCACGCUACCCUGCCCGCUCCCCAGAUGAGAGCGCAGAUGAGAUCGCUCACGCAGCGGUGGAUGCCGCGGCCGCCAGCAAGUCAGCGAAUGCGCAACCCGCUUGAGAUGGCUUCUGCUCGUCAUCAUGAGAUGGCUUCUGCUGGAACUUUUCGUAGAUGCACUGUAAUUACACUUUGAUACGGGGCAGCAGAGAAGAGGGGGCGCUAACCGACCGAAGUGUCUUACAGUCUCAAAAAUUCAGUUUCUAAAAUUCUGCCAUGACUUUUGCUCCCGAUCGGUGCCUUUCUCCGACAACGGGAACAGUUGAAAGCUACACGCCGGGACGCGGCGCUGUUGCUCGAGCCUGUAAACUUGUAUAAUUUCCCGGUCUUUUUCAAAAGUAUUAACCAAUGGCGCAUACUUCAACAAUAUCAUUAGUAUCUUACGUUAAGAAUUGCUUUGUUCAUUUAGACGUUCUUGCUUUCUAAAAAGUAUUUUUCUUGAUCUUAAGUUGUCGAAGUUUUCCGAGAGCCAUCGACUACACUUCGUCGUUUUAUUUGGCAGAAAAUACGCAUUUUAAACAGUUUCUUAAAAUAUAUUUACCACAAAUGUAACUUUUGUUGGCUGACAAAAACGUGUUCUUAGACUAAUUGUUUCAUCACGACAGCAAAUUGCGCUAGAGAACACGAAGAACAAGCAAGGAAACCGAGACGAUCACAAGGCACACUAUUGACUCUGAAGCACAGCACAGCAACUCGUGUUUUGACAACGCCCUGAAGAAAUCAUCUGUUCACCGAACGAAAACAAAUUUUUGGAGAUUGCAAACAGCAACCUCUUUGCCUUGCUGAAGCAUGGCUAUUAUGUCUUUUAGGGAAAAAAAAUCAUGCAAUUCAGAAAGCCUGCGUGUACGCUUAAUCGUGCUGUAGCACCGAAGUGUAAAAAAUUGUCUUGGAUUUAGCUCUUCUAAACCUAGUUAUACCGAGCGAAAAGUCUCUUUGGUUUGGCUUUGCAAGAACUAUGCACACCGUGUUUCAUUAAGGUCAGGCCAGUCAGUCCUUCACACGCGUUACACACGCUUCCGAACGGGUUAACCGUGAAGUCGCGGUGAAACUUGGCCGUCGCAAUCGAGCUUGCCGCCAGCCGAAGGGGUGUCGUUCGUCCCCCCCGCCCCUAAACUCGCCUCGCGCGCGCGACAGGAGGGCGCUUCCGGCCCCCGCCUUCCACGCCUACGCGAGAUUCCCGUACAAAAAUGAAUGUUGAUUAACCAUUGAUAUAUUGUUGGGCAAUUGUUGAAACGGACUUCACAAAUUUUCAAGAGCAAUUGAGUUCACUCAACCCUUGCACAACAGUAUUACCGUUGAGUGUUCUCAAUAAACAAUUUAUUGGGUAGUUAGUGCUGAUUUUUCUAGUUGUUUUUUUGUUGUGUAGCAGUUGAGUCCAGUAUACAAUAAUUAGGACUCGCAUAUGAAGACAUUCCAAACAUUUAUUGCUAUGCGUUCCAACCUCAUUCCUGUCACUUUGCGGCAAGUAGGUUCUUCUUUCGCCUCGCUUUCAUUAAAAGAAAAUGAUGUGUGACCGACGGGGUGGAAUCGAACGUCGGCCGUCGAGCCCGGUACUCUAACCAAUAGGCCACGAGCGCGCGCAUCCUCCUCUCAAUCGAAAGCCAGUAAGCUCUGAAAUGCUUGGCGCGUGCGCCGCGUGCCACUUCCUGGUGCUGUCGCUACAGCUGACGCUUUGAAGCGCCUAUUCCCGGGACCGCCCCACUUUCGUAGCCAUUUUCGCUACGUGAAAACUGCAACGUUAGACUAGAUUCAUGACCGCCCAAGUUCAUAACGAUUUAUUUCUUCGCCGGUGUACAAAUGCCAUCGUCGUUUUAACAUACACUAGAUGACAUAACCAUUGGUACGAUCCGAAAUGAGCACGUUUCGGGGAGCAGAAGAAUGCGAAAUUCACUUGCAAACACGGUGACUAUGCGCAUGUGGAGUUCCCCAAAAGUAGACACGGCGGCAGCGCGGCCGGCGAUAAGACAGGUGCCGACAGGCGACGACGCUACCUUCGAGCAUCGGACGGGCAGUGGGAACCGUAGGAUGCAAGCGCGCACACGCUACAAACAUACACGAAUGAGGUCUUCGAAUUUCCUGCGACGUACCCUCUGUCUGUAAAGCAAAUAUAGUUUUUUUAUCCAAUGUCCGUGGUACUAGAGAUCAAAGAACGAAUGCGCUUUGAGAUCGCAGCGCGCAGCAGCUAUAACCAUUGACUUCAAAGAGCUUCGGAUUCAGCAACGGCCGCAACAGUAUCACAGCUAAUCGCUGUAUCUGCGGCUGCUCCCGUCUCUCGCCUUGCAAGAAGCACGCGAUUUAUUUGAGCCUCGCCGAACCGUCGUCCUCUCAUCUCCCAAGCCUGCAGGUCUCGUAUGUUCAGUUAAGAACACUAAAGGGAAAUGAAAGAAAUACAGGUAACGGACUCUUAUCAUACUUUACUUGUCACCUCGUCAUCUGCAAAAGCGCUACAAACUAUUUUAGAAGCUUUAUUUUCGCAAAAAUAGCAAAAUUAGUAGUAAUCUUUAUUUCUAGUUGGCGCGACAAACGUCAAGGUAGCGUUCGAGCGUGUGUGUGUGCGCGCAGCGGGUGCAACCGAGCUUCGUUUUGCGCACACUUUUGCAACAGUACGCACGGUUAUCGCUAGUUUCGUAGUCGCAUUUUUUGGUCGUUGUAUUUGUUGUUUACGCUACAUAUUAUGUUGUUCUUGAAAAUUUAUGAAGGUUAGUUGAUCAAAAAUUAUUGCUAAUUAAUUACCGGUUUUUAAGUGCCAUUAUUUUGUGUUUGAAAGGUUUUUAUAACUGAAUACGAUAGUGAAGUUGUGAACGGCUUUCGGACUCAGUUAUUCGGUUGCAGUUGUGCGGUGGUUCACGCCUCGUACUUUUUGAUGAAAGUACUUUUUACUUUUCGGACAUCAUGACGCACAUUUUAGGGAAAUGCUUUAACGACGAUACGUGGGACGUUUAUCCGUUGAAGUGGUAGGCUCGCCCAGCUACUAGUCUUCUACUGAUGUGCGAGCCUGGUUGUUUUGAUGAGUUGCGCGGCAGAGGUCAUGAUGCCUGUUGGAAAGGAGGCACCCCGAAACAGUCGCAGCCGCACUUCUGAAGAUAGUUCAACUUCAAGGAGUCCCCUGAGGAAGCCAAUAAGAGUGAUGGUAACUUCCUUUGUGAAUAAGAUUUAUAAAUUUCAUCCAUUCAAGGCAUGACAUGGCACAUGCCUGAUUGUAGGUUGCAAGCAUUCGUAGUAAGAUCUAUUUUUCGGUUCUCAUGACGCUUUUUUGUACUGUGCUGCAUUCUCCAGGCACAUGAACCUUUUUUAUGCUCUAAGUGCAUGCGUUCUUUUUCUAUAUGUUGGAGCGAAAAUUGUGAGCCUAAAUAUGCAUAUAUAACACUUGUAAUUUUUUUCAACACGGGUGCUGUAGCUCCCUCCGUCUUUCAGUUACUGCUUUGCCCCAAUUUUUAUGCAACCUUUAUGUAUGUUAUGCAGCAAAAUUCUGGUGCUAUUUUAAUAUUUUACCUGCGAAAUUGAGAUGAUUGGUGUUUCGUAUAUGCAUUUAUUUGCGUUUUUCAUUGUAUCACCAAUCUGGCUGUCGAGUCAUUGGAACCUUUUCUCAUCUUUUAUGACUUGUCUUGAGCCUAAAUAUGCAUGUAUAUCACUCGUAAUUUUUUUCAACACGGGUGCUGUAUCUCCCUUCGUCUUUGUUACUGCUUUGUCCCAAUUUUUAUGCAACUUUUAUGUAUUUUAUGCAAUAAAAUUCUGGUAGCAUUUUAAUAAAAUUUUGCCUGCGCAAAUGAGGUCAUUGGUUUUUCGUAUACGGAUUUGCGUUUUUCACUGUCUCGCCAAUCUGGCUGUGCAGUUAUUGAAACCUUUGCCAAUCCUUUAUGACUAUUUCUGGGGUACUUGAUCUGAAAGUGCAGGUGAGUAUUUGGCUGUUUGGAAUUGUGUUAGCCGUGUGUUACUACCCAUUUUCUUUGCUAAUUAUUUUUUCUCUUAUCGUUCAAGGUAUUAGCCUUGCCUUAUCUCUUUAUUGACUGAGGUACCACUUAUUUGCUGGGUAUAGGGAGAAAAGGCCCCAAAAAGUGCUGUAAUUAGAUUUUUGCAAGUCCAGAAAAAUUACCUGAAAGUGAGCUCACUAAAUUGAGGAAAUGCCACCAACAAACUCUUCUGUACCCCAAAUUAACAUAAUCAAAUGGUGUACUGUUUGUUCUUGACUUGUGCCAGGGAGAUAAGCUGCAUUCAUUACACAAAGGUUUUACAAGUUUAUUUCUGAAGAAAGCAAACCUGGCUCGUGAGAAACAUAUGAUUCAGGUGCUCACCAUGCCCGACAACUUUCUAAAUAAUGUCUCGUCAAAUAAUAGAUAUUUAGUGGUGUUAUUUUACAAAAUAAUUGGCCAACAUGAAAAUAUAUAUAUCUCGAAGACAAAGCUCAGGCAAGUCUAUUUUGGUACUUCAUUAAAUUUUAAUCGCGGUGAAAGACGUGUGCUAAAGCUUCUAUAUAUUUACGUGAAGUCAUUUGUUUCAAGUCUGUUAUUUUGCCUUCUCACAGUCAGCCGUAGCUCUUCCUGUGAUGUGUUAGUGUGCGAAACAUUUUAAUGUAACGUAUUCAGAUUUCUUUUGUGUAUUCACACGCAAGCAGCUUCAAGUGUUCAUGUGUUCAAAGUUGGCUGUUACAAGGGUAUGCUUAAGCCCUGCCUUUUGAGUCGCUUUACCUUCUAGUCAUAAACUUAAGUCGAAAGUGAAGACCACAAUGAUCGUUUUGGUUGAAUUGAUAUGUAUUUACACUGCUAGAGUGCUGUAGGUACUAGCCUAUGUCUCCAGGUUCGAUGUAGUGGUGCCUUAUGUACUGUAAUAUUGUUUCACGUGCACGCAUCUUUAGUGUAAAUAAAGGUACUUCAAGUUGA